rnacentral:lncRNA from 1 species
GCUCAGUGUGAGAAACAUGCUCAGCCGUCCAAACCCAAAGAAUGGACUUAGAGGCAUGAAGAACAGCUCUCCUAAUCAUUCCCCGCUUCUCCUGUGAACAGGAUAUUCAUGACAGACAUCAUUUCAGCCCAGGUAUAAAAGCUGGGUUCCAGGAAUUGGUCUGCUAAAUGGCUGGGAUCUUGUAGGAGUGGUUUCAUUUGCUUCUUGAAAUUCCUAACUUCAGUUCUUGUAAGAGGAGCAUUUACAAAGCCAAUUUUUCCUUGUCCCAUGGGAACUUGCGUAAGCGUGAACAUGCUAGAUGCCUGCUGUGUGGAAGGGAUAGAGCUUUCAAGAACUAAACUGAAAACUGAAUUUUACCACCUUUUAUUUCCCUUGGCCACAAAGGGUGC